AUUGAACGCUGGCGGCGUGCUUAACACAUGCAAGUCGAUCGGUAACAGGUGUAGCAAUACAUGCUGACGAGAGGCGGACGGGUGAGGAAUAUUUGGGAAUCUGCCCAUCAGCGGGGGACAACCCGGGGAAACCCGGGCUAAUACCGCAUACGCUCUACGGAGGAAAGCCGGGGACCGCAAGGCCUGGCACUGAUGGAUGAGCCCAAAUCGGAUUAGCUAGUUGGCGGGGUAACGGCCCACCAAGGCGACGAUCCGUAGCUGGUCUGAGAGGACGAUCAGCCACACCGGAACUGAGACACGGUCCGGACUCCUACGGGAGGCAGCAGUGGGGAAUAUUGGACAAUGGGGGAAACCCUGAUCCAGCGACGCCGCGUGGGUGAAGAAGGCCUGCGGGUUGUAAAGCCCUUUCGGUAGGGACGAAAGCUCUUGCUCUAACAAAGCAGGAGGUUGACUUAACCUACAUAAGAAGCACCGGCUAACUCUGUGCCAGCCGCCGCGGUAAUAC
rnacentral:rRNA from 1 species